GCCGAAGUGGCGAAAUGGUAGCCGCGCUGGACUCAAAAUCCAGUGACUUAUGUCAUGUUGGUUCAAGUCCGACCUUCGGCA
rnacentral:tRNA from 1 species